rnacentral:lncRNA from 1 species
UCCCUGUUCACCAAAUAAAUAAUUGAAUAAUUAGAUUUGGUAUAUGUAUGUGUGCCAAUUAAUGAGACAAUUCUCCAUCCAAGUCAUAAUCAGGUUGGGAACAACCCCUCAAUUUUACAAAUAUACUUUUUAUGAGGGGUCAAUAUAAGUUACAAUAUAUUUUUUGUAAAUAAAACUUUUUAGUACAAAAGAGCUCAUAUUUUCCCAAAGAACUAUAUAUCUAUCUGGUAUUAAAUGGUCAAAACAUGCCCAAGAAUUUUGUAAUAUUCCUGGACUUAGGCCAUGUUAACACAUUUACUUUAAUAUUAUUCAAAACAAAUAAUAUCAUAAAUAAUUCUCUUUAAGAAUAUAGUAAUGUUGUUUAAAAUUAUUUAAAUAUGAUGUAUUUCUCCUCUCUUUUAGUUAUUUUUUUUUAAGUUCUUCAAAGGAUUUGUAUAGUAACACUAUGCAAAUCCUUGGUAUUUCUUCAAGUUUCUUUUUUACAACAGUAAAAUGACCCCAUAUGUGCCCUUCUGAGGGAUAAUAGCAAAUACAGAUCAUAGUACGUACGGCAGAGCUUUGACCCAGACCAAACAGCAAGCUAUAAGGGACCCCAAAAUUAUAAGUGUACACAAUUCGAACAGGAAAACCAACGAUCUAAUUUAUAUAUAUACAAACG